GUGCAAGCCGUCUAGUACGGUGAAACCGCGAAAGGCUCAUUAAAUCAGUUAUGGUUCCUUAGAUUGUACCCACGUUACUUGGAUAACUGUGGUAAUUCUAGAGCUAAUACAUGCCGACAGAGUUCCAACCAACUGUACAGCCUCGGCUGUGCGGUAAGGAAGGAACGCUUUUAUUAGAUCAAAACCGGCUAAGCGGCGUUCUUCGGAUCGCCGUCAGUGGCCUGCGCAAAGAUUUGGUGACUCUGAAUAACUUCGAGCUGAUCGCACGGUCUCGUACCGGCGACGUAUCUUUCAAAUGUCUGCCUUAUCAACUGUCGACGGUAGGUUCGACGCCUACCGUGGUGGUAACGGGUAACGGGGAAUCAGGGUUCGAUUCCGGAGAGGGAGCCUGAGAAACGGCUACCACAUCCAAGGAAGGCAGCAGGCGCGCAAAUUACCCACUCCCAGCUCGGGGAGGUAGUGACGAAAAAUAACGAUACGGGACUCAAUUGAGGC
rnacentral:rRNA from 1 species